AUGGCCACCGCCGCCGCUUCGCCGCCGCCGACCGCCACCGAGGACAACGUCCGCCUCCUUCUCCCUGGAUUUCUCUCCCCCGAGACCUGCAAGGAGCUGGAGUUCGUGCACCGGAGCUGCGGGACGGCGGGGUACCGGCCUUCGGUGGUGUCUACAUCGCUGCCGCAUCUGGCUGCCACCGGCUGCGGCCACCUACUCCUCCCCUUCGUGCCCAUCCGCGAGCGACUUCGCGACGCCGUCGAGUCCUUCUUCUCCUGCCACUUCGACCUCUUCGUCGAGUUCACCGGACUAGUCAGUUGGUGCAAGGGGGCUUCUAUUGGAUGGCACAGUGACGACAACAAACCUUAUCUUAGGCAAAGAGCCUUCACGGCUGUGUGCUACUUGAACAAUCAUGGAAAGGACUUUAAGGGUGGACUGUUGAAGUUUCAGGAUGGUGAACCCUCCUCUGUUAUUCCAGUUGCUGGUGAUGCUGUCAUCUACACUGCUGAUAAUCGUAAUGUCCAUUGUGUAGAUGAGGUAACUGAGGGUGAAAGGCUGACACUUACUCUUUGGUUCACUAGAGAUAGUUCUUUUGAUGAGGAUCCAAAGCUCCUUAGUUUUCUAUCCCAGACAUCACUGAGCUAUGAGCCAGCUGAUCAGAACUCUUACAUUCCUUUGCCAGCCUCAGAUAACAUGUACUGGUUUUCCUACGAUCAGUCUGGCUUUGACAUACGAUGUGCUAGAAUACACAUUCUUGGGUUUAGUUUUCGUGCAAGCAGCGAUGAAGACAGCAAGAGUACAUGUGCUGCACCAGCUGAUGACCCCAUAGAGUUGCUUGGGAAGCCACUGCGAAUUGGGAGGGCAGAUGAUGUCUUUGGGAAGAUAUUUGCCAACAGCUUGCACGCUCUUCAGGUGGUGCAAUUUUACUACUGGAAAGCACCUGAGCUGGCAGCAAGGAGAAACCAGACUACUGGUGGUUCAGAAACAGUUUGCUACCCUACUAUACAAGUACAGCAAUCAAGUGGAACGGAACUUCCAUUACCGUGUAACCAUGGACUUGCACAAACCAUAUUUGGAUCAUAUAGCAGUGUGGAUUCUGUUAUUGAAUGGGAUGAUGUUGUGUUAGCACUUGAUAUGUGGGAGAAUUAUUCAGAAGAAUUGAGGAGAAAGUUGUCGAUAUUCUUGCCAAAUUGGCUGUCCAACGGAACCAUUUUUGUUGUAGAUCCCUCCGAGCCCACCCAGUGA
rnacentral:rRNA from 1 species